rnacentral:rRNA from 1 species
UGGGGAAUUUUGGACAAUGGGGGAAACCCUGAUCCAGCCAUCCCGCGUGUGCGAUGAAGGCCUUCGGGUUGUAAAGCACUUUUGGCAGGAAAGAAACGUCAUGGGUUAAUACCCCGUGAAACUGACGGUACCUGCAGAAUAAGCACCGGCUAACUACGUGCCAGCAGCCGCGGUAAUACGUAGGGUGCAAGCGUUAAUCGGAAUUACUGGGCGUAAAGCGUGCGCAGGCGGUUCGGAAAGAAAGAUGUGAAAUCCCAGAGCUCAACUUUGGAACUGCAUUUUUAACUACCGUGCUAGAGUGUGUCAGAGGGAGGUGGAAUUCCGCGUGUAGCAGUGAAAUGCGUAGAUAUGCGGAGGAACACCGAUGGCGAAGGCAGACUCCUGGGAUAACACUGACGCUCAUGCACGAAAGCGUGGGGAGCAAACAGG